CCUCUCAAUGAUUUUGAGAGUGUUUAUUUUCUCCUCAAAGGGCUCGGCUCUGAAUACGAUCCUUUUGUGACGUCAAUUGCAACCAGAGUCGACCCACUGUCCGUUGAUGAACUUUAUGGCCACCUACUUGCUCACGAGA